rnacentral:rRNA from 1 species
AUUGAACGCUGGCGGCAGGCCUAACACAUGCAAGUCGAACGGUAACAGAAAGCAGCUUGCUGCUUUGCUGACGAGUGGCGGACGGGUGAGUAAUGUCUGGGAAACUGCCUGAUGGAGGGGGAUAACUACUGGAAACGGUAGCUAAUACCGCAUAAUGUCGCAAGACCAAAGAGGGGGACCUUCGGGCCUCUUGCCAUCGGAUGUGCCCAGAUGGGAUUAGCUAGUAGGUGGGGUAAUGGCUCACCUAGGCGACGAUCCCUAGCUGGUCUGAGGGGAUGACCAGCCACACUGGAACUGAGACACGGUCCAGACUCCUACGGGAGGCAGCAGUGGGGAAUAUUGCACAAUGGGCGCAAGCCUGAUGCAGCCAUGCCGCGUGUAUGAAGAAGGCCUUCGGGUUGUAAAGUACUUUCAGCGAGGAGGAAGGUGUUGUGGUUAAUAACCACAGCAAUUGACGUUACUCGCAGAAGAAGCACCGGCUAACUCCGUGCCAGCCGCCGCCGUAA